GUCUAUGGCCAUAACACCCCAAAUGCACCGGAUCUCGUCUGAUCUUGGAAGCUAAGCAGGGUCAGGCCUGGUUAGUACUUGUACAGAAGAACAAGAGAUUAAUAGUUU
rnacentral:rRNA from 1 species